rnacentral:rRNA from 1 species
GACGAACGCUGGCGGCGUGCUUAACACAUGCAAGUCGAACGGAGUGGCGAACGGGUGAGUAACACGUGGGUGACCUGCCCUGCACUUCGUGAUAAGCCUGGGAAACUGGGUCUAAUACCGGAGAGUGUGGGAUGGGCCCGCGGCCUAUCGGCUUGUGGGUGGGGUAAUGGCCUCCCAAGGCGGCGACGGGUAGCCGGCCUGGGAGGGUGGACGGCCACAUGGUGACUGCGACACGGCCCAGAGUCCUACGGGGGGCAGCAGUGGGGAAUAUUGCACAAUGGGCGGAAGUCUGAUGCAGAGGCGCCGGGUGGGGGAUGACGGCCUUCGGGUUGUAAACUCCUUUCACCAUCGACGCGGUAGAUGGAGAAGAAGCACCGGCUAACUACGUGCCAGCAGCCGCGGUAAUUC